UACGUAGGGUGCGAGCGUUGUCCGGAAUUAUUGGGCGUAAAGAGCUCGUAGGCGGUGUGUCGCGUCGGCCGUGAAAACCUGCAGCUUAACUGUGGGCUUGCGGUCGAUACGGGCAUCACUGGAGUUCGGCAGGGGAGACUGGAAUUCCUGGUGUAGCGGUGAAAUGCGCAGAUAUCAGGAGGAACACCGGUGGCGAAGGCGGCGCUCUGGGCCGGUACUGACACUGAGGAGCGAAAGCGUGGGUAGCAAACAGG
rnacentral:rRNA from 1 species